AACGAACGCUGGCGGCAGGCUUAACACAUGCAAGUCGAGCGCCCCGCCAGGGGAGCGGCAGACGGGUGAGUAACGCGUGGGAACGUACCUUUUGGUUCGGAACAACUCCGGGAAACUGGAGCUAAUACCGGAUAAGCCCUAACGGGGAAAGAUUUAUCGCCGAAAGAGCGGCCCGCGUCUGAUUAGCUAGUUGGUGAGGUAACGGCUCACCAAGGCGACGAUCAGUAGCUGGUCUGAGAGGAUGAUCAGCCACACUGGGACUGAGACACGGCCCAGACUCCUACGGGAGGCAGCAGUGGGGAAUAUUGGACAAUGGGCGCAAGCCUGAUCCAGCCAUGCCGCGUGAGUGAUGAAGGCCUUAGGGUUGUAAAGCUCUUUUGUCCGGGAAGAUAAUGACUGUACCGGAAGAAUAAGCCCCGGCUAACUUCGUG
rnacentral:rRNA from 1 species